CUGGUGACCCACCCCUGGGUUCCUGAGCAGGACUGGGGUCCCUGGCAACGGUUCCACCUUUUCCAUCUUUGAGGAAUCUUGCAGGUGACCUCACAAUUGGUAUGACACUUGUGAGUUCUGUUGCAAAUGAGGAGUCUUGUUUUUAUUUCUCAGGCUUCUCUCCAGCCGUGAGGGAAAUUCUGAAAUGGCUGCUCCUACUGCCCUGACUUUUAAAUUAAAGACUUCUGAAGUAAGGAGAACUGUUUAUGAGUGAGAACCGAAUUAAAGAUUACAGUUAAGCAGCCUGACUCAUUGGCCACCUGAGGGUGAUUCAUCGGAAGGGAAUAUCCAUCCAAAGCCGUUAUUGUAGUGACCAAUUAAGACCCACCGUGACUUCCUGUGUCUCAGGUUUUUGCUUGCCAGCUUAGCACAAAGGCUCAGACGUGGAACAAAGGGCCCGAGUGAAUGCUUCCAUAAACAGGCACGGAAUGAUUGUAGCUCUCCACUGAUGGAUAACCCGCUCAAGCUGGCCUGCAACACAAUCUCUCUCUCCAGCCUGUGAAACUCCUUCUCCUACAACAAAUCCUGAUGGAAUAGCCAGGGCGCAUCACUAUGGGACAACAGAGAACGUUGCAUCAGACUCAACAACCCAGGUUGAUUUGGGUCCUGCUUCUUUGUGCUGCAAAGCACAGGCGGGUCACCUCUCUCCCCUGAGUUUUAUUUGCGCUAAACUGAGAUACCAAUAGCAUUCGGUUAACAUGUCUGUGGCGGAGAUAAUGAGUGUGGAAAGAUCUAAACAGCUCUACACACCCUCUGUAACCGUCCUCUCAGAUGAGCCGGAAGCUCACUCAGCCUCAAGUUUCAGUGCUCAAAGCUGGCUUGGUUUAAAUUUAAAGACGAAGGUCCAGAUAUAAUUUCGAAUUAGAAGGAGGAAGACUCCGGAAGUCCUUUGCCCCGGGCGAUUUGCUAAAGACCUCGUAGCUGCCUAUAAAUAAGUAGAUCUUUGGUUUUAUUUUUAAGUGGUUCUUGUCACCCCCUACUUAUGCCAGAAGUCUGAGUUGUAUUUAGUGUUGACUGGACUCUUACUGAGAUUCCCCUCAAGCUCCUCUCAGCUUACUCCUCUCUUCCUUCACUCCACAAACAGAAAACCUGCCUUUGCAACAGGAAGUGACGUCACGGGACUCUCCGCUAAGGAGGAAGCACAAACAAACUGGGAACUAAGGAUGCAAAUGGACAAAGGCCAGCCGGCAAGGCCAAGGACCACCGCCAGAUUUAGAAUGAGUCCACGCUGAUGUAAACAUCUGAAUACUCCACAGCACACUCACUAGUGAGCCAGCAAAUGCCCAGGCCUAAGGUUGGGCUUAGCUGGGCAUGGUCUCCUCACAGAUGAGGAAACCAAGGCUCUAUGGAUAGGCAGAGGCGACAUGGAAAUUUCAUUGUACAAUUUCUACUUAUUUGCAGAAGAAUCCUGAUUUUU